rnacentral:rRNA from 1 species
CCUACGGGCGGCAGCAGUCGAGAAUCAUUCACAAUGGGGGAAACCCUGAUGGUGCGACGCCGCGUGGGGGAAUGAAGGUCUUCGGAUUGUAAACCCCUGUCAUGUGGGAGCAAAUUAAAAAGAUAGUACCCCAAGAGGAAGAGACGGCUAACUCUGUGCCAGCAGCCGCGGUAAUACAGAGGUCUCAAGCGUUGUUCGGAAUCACUGGGCGUAAAGCGUGCGUAGGCUGUUUCGUAAGUCGUGUGUGAAAGGCGCGGGCUCAACCCGCGGACGGCACAUGAUACUGCGAGACUAGAGUAAUGGAGGGGGAACCGGAAUUCUCGGUGUAGCAGUGAAAUGCGUAGAUAUCGAGAGGAACACUCGUGGCGAAGGCGGGUUCCUGGACAUUAACUGACGCUGAGGCACGAAGGCCAGGGGAGCGAAUGGGAUUAGAUACCCUGGUAGUC